UGCGUCGUAGUGCGUCGUAGUCCGGAUUGGAGUCUGCAACUCGACUCCAUGAAGUCGGAAUCGCUAGUAAUCGUGGAUCAGAAUGCCACGGUGAAUACGUUCCCGGGCCUUGUACACACCGCCCGUCACACCAUGGGAGUGGGUUGCAAAAGAAGUAGGUAGCUUAACCUUCGGGAGGGCGCUUACCACUUUGUGAUUCAUGACUGGGGUGAAGUCGUAACAAGGUAACCGUAGGGGAACCUGCGGUUGGAUCACCUCCUUA
rnacentral:rRNA from 1 species